UCCGCUGUCGACUUCAGUUUCAGGGUCAAAUAUGUCCGCAGGAGACUCGAAAGAACAAUUUCUCUACAACCUUCCUCCCCCCCUGCUCUGGGAGUUCUGCCGGAUCAUGGACGGACUCUCAGACCUGGACUGGACGCGCUUUGCAGCCGAAGUCCUUGGGGAUCAGACUGCCGUCCGACUGGCUGAGCGAAGGGAGAGGCGGACCGACUGGGUGAUGAACCAAUGGGGAAACAGGAAUGGUACUGUUGGCGAGCUGAUCAGUCUACUGGAGCGUCUGCAGCUACUUCGUCCCCGCGAUGUCAUCCUGUGCUGGCCUUCUCUCUCUGUGCAGGCAUAUCCAGUUUGAAGUCUACCUCCUCUACUCCUGGUCCUCACUCUCCUCAUGUCUCCCCUCAGUUCGAGCCUGCAUCCAAGUCCCCGCCCACACUGACCACCUGUACACUGAGCACAACAGAUAGAGGAGAAGGAAGACCACUACCCAAACCUGCCCCACCGCCUUCCAGUCUGCAGUCCAAGCCUCCUCAGCUUUUUCAGCCCUUCCCGGUGACAGAGUCCAGCAGUAGUGGUGUAGCUGGUGGGGUGAUGUUUUGGUCCAUUGAAGAGGUACAGUCUGGGACGAAGGGCUUUUCUCCUUCCCUGCAGGUGGGAGAGGGGGGGUUUGGAGUGGUGUACAGAGCAACUCUGAGGAACACUGACUGUGCAGUGAAGAGACUCAAACAGGACUGUCUGCUAGACUGGACUCUGCUGAGGGAGAGUUUUCAGAAUGAAGUGGACAAACUGUCAAAGUUCAGACAUCCCAACAUAGUGGAGCUGCUGGGAUUCAGUGAAGGAGAAGGAUCUGUGUGUCUGAUCUACAGCUACAUGCAGAACAGAUCAGUCGAGGACCAGCUACACAAUGAGCGUGGAGGUCUCUCCUGGUCUCAGAGACUCGCUAUAGUUGAUGGAGCAUCGGCAGCUCUGCAGUUCCUCCAUUCACCUCCUGGUGGACACACGCCUCUAAUCCAUGGAGACGUCAAGAGCUCCAACAUCCUACUGGACCAGCACUUGGUGCCCAAACUGGCUGACUUUGGUCUGGCUCAGCUUGUUUGUCGCAGUUCACCUGGGACUCAGACGGUAUCGGUUGGGAAAACGGCCACAGUCAGAGGAACACUGGCAUACCUACCUGACGAGUACGUGAGAAAUGGAGAGCUGAGCACGGCCCUGGAUGUCUACAGCUUUGGAGUGGUGUUGUUGGAAGUCCUGACUGGCCGUCGAGCUCUGGAGAAAGACAGCAAGUCAGAAGAAAGAUUCCUGAAGGACCUGGUAGAAGAUUUUGAGGAUACUCCAACUGAUUCAUCAGCUGCAGCCUGGAGAAAACAGCUAGACCACCGACUGAUAACAGGGGCAGCUGCUGAUCCCAGGGGUUUUCUGGAGGUGGUGGCUGUAGCACGCAGGUGUUUGGACAAGAACAGGAAAAAGAGACCAGCCAUGACUGAGGUGUUUGAGAUACUUCAACACAUCCACAACAUGGUGAGGAAGACCAACUCUUCCCAUCUCCCACCCCACUCUCACCCCCGUCCCGCUAGCUUUCUAGACUCCAGUGUAGUAGGCCUGUCAAAUCAGCUGUCCAAACUGAGACCUUUAGAGGCUGCCUGUGAGUCCUCCCAGUCUUUGUUUCUCUCUUCGUUUUCCUGCUCCCUCACUCCUCCUGACCCGCUCCACUCCUCCUCCUCCCUUCCCACAACGUCAGCUUUGUCAAUAUCUUCCCUUGGCGGUCCGUGUGAAACUGAUGAGAGUCAAGGUUUCUCCCAGUACAACCUUUCCUGCAAGUUCAAAUCCAACAGGUCCAUCUACAGGUCUCAUCCUUCAUCUAUCAGAGAUCAGUUUCACUGUCUAGCUGGGCCCACACAGUCCCAGUUCAUUCACCUUUCACUCCCCACCGAGAACCAAUACAGCUACGACAGGCCAGGGGAAGAGGUAGUGCUAGGGGACUCCACAGAGCCAGGCACCAGGCGGAGGACCACAGGAGGGGCCCCAGAUCGCCUCCCUCCUGAAAGCUACGUGCAGCCUGUGUCCGCAGGGCCCUUGGCCCACAUGAAUCUCUUUGGGAAUCAAAGCAAUGACAAGGAAGGAUGGAUCCAAGGUCCAAAGCAGCUGUCUGAUGACCUGUCUCACAUGGUCAUCUUGUGUAUUUAUGCAGAUGGGGGCAAGAGUUCCGAAGAGUCCAGAGGACCAGAGGAGAGUGAUGAACUAGAUUAUCUUCCUGCUUAGGGCAAACUCCUUGUUUUAACAACUGUGUAAAACUGGACAGGAGUCUGGUAAUGAACGCUUUCAAAUACCUCUCACUGCAGACAGUUAGGCUUCACACUGUGUCAUAGGUUUCAGAUAUUUUAAUUCCUUAACUAUUAGAUAAACUAAUUAAAGAGUUAACCUAACAUAUUAUUAGUAUUUCAGUAUUUAUAUUUGUAGAGGAUUCAAAUUAACAUUAUAAUAUUAAGGCAGAAACAUUGUUAUUCCUCAAAAUAGGGACACUAGGUUUGUUUUAAAGCUGAAAUUAUGCUUUUAUUAUUCUAGUCAAAUGCCAGAUUUAAUGAGUUAAUAGUUAUGAUGAAUAACAAUAACAUUUUUUCCUUGAUAGAACCAAAUCAGUCUCUAAUGUUGUAAACUCUUGUUGCAGUUCAGUGACCUCUGUCUAAGCCUGAAGAACAAUGCACACAAAACCAGAUUCCUUUUAACGUUUUAUGAAUCUAAUACUACUGGAUAUAUGAAUAAAAUAAUGUGAAAAUAUUAAAAUAAAACAAGAAAAGAGCAAACCGUAAGCAUGAAAUGAUUAGUAAUGCAUGAGUAGAUGCAUUGGACCAGACUGGGGGGCACGGUCAGCAACACACGGACACUAUGCUCUCUUCAUCAGCCUCAUAUAGCAGCGCAACCAGCUUCUGCCCUAUGUGUAAUACAGAAAUAUACACAGAUAUAUAAUUUGCAAUAAACAUAUGAUAUACAAGUAUCCCCUUAAAUUCUACUGUCCCUCCUGAGGGACACCUGAGGGCAUCAUGCGAGUUAUGACCGUGUUCGCGCUCAAUCACGCCGUGUCUGGUCUCUUUACGUUCGUUACGAUCCAGAGAAUGUAAUCCAAUAAAGUGUUUCGGUCCAAAACACACGGUACAUCCACACUGGUCCAAAAACUACAAGUUUUCUGCUCCAACUCUUGAGCGAAAAUUUUUUUUUCCAACUUCUGUGAGCCAUAACUCGCGAAAGUAAUGAGAACUUUUCAAGAUGGAGGCUCCCGGGCUUCGGCUUCGAACGAGACCAGCUAAGCCGUAAACCUCCGUUCAUUGGCCCCACCAUAGCAACCCCUAGCACACGUGAGCCAACCCUACCCUCCCCCCUCCCUCCACUCAAAGGCCUCUAGAGUUAACCUCGUAAAUGCUGGAACAAAACGGACGCUGCAGCCGUGUAGUAGAGAAAGCACUGAUUCGGCUGAUAUACGAUGAGUGGGGGAGGGGCGCUCAGCCUGCCGUAACCAGCCGGGUCAAAGGCCCAAAAAGUGAAGCCUGCUCUUUCCUAACUAGGAUUUUUUGACCCAGAUUGUCACAUAUAUUAUAUUAGGUUAUAGUGAACGCAAAUAUAGCAUUAUAGGGUAUUUUUACAGCCUGUAAGCUUUCAUUUGAGCCCUCCCUGGUGUCUCUGGGUUGAUCCAGGCCAGAGAUGUGACCUAUUAGGGUUACCUGGGCCAGGCGGAAUUUGGUGUGUGGGGGGGAAUAAUUAAUUAAUCAUAAAAGUAAUUUAGAAAAUGUCCCAUUUACUGGUUUUUAACACUAUUUGAUUUAUUUCUUCAUAUAUAAAUGCAAAAGGCUUCAUUCUUUUAGAUCCCUUUUCUCUUUUUGUCCUUAGACCAGUCACCAGGGAGAUAUUUGCUUAUAUCUAUAAAGGGAAAAAUCCAGGCGAGGGCUUAUCAAAAAAUUAUUAAAUUAUUUCAGUUUUGUGUUUCUUUUGUUUUUCUCCUGUAUAACUUUAACUAUAACUGUAACUGUGUAACUGUAACUGUAAGCUUUCAUUGGGGCCCUCCCUGGUGUCUGUAGGUUGAUCCAGGCCAGAGUUGUGACCUAUUAGGGGUACCUGGGCCAGGCCGGUUUUGGGGGAGGGGGGGGGGAUUAAUUAAUCAUAAAAGUAAUUAAAAAAUGUCCCAUAUACAGGUUUUUAACACUAUUUAAUUUAUUUCUUUUAUAUAUUAAUGCACAAGGCUUCAUUCUUUUAGAUCUCUUUUGGGUUUUUUGUCAUGAGACCAUUCACCAGGGAGAUAUUUGCUUAUAUCUAUAAGGGAAAAAUCUAGACGAGGGCUAAUCAAAAAAUUAUUUCUGGUUUGUGUUUCUUUUGUUUUUCCUCCUAUAUAACUGUAACAAAUUAUGUUUCUUUCUACAACCAUUUUAAUUGGAAUAUGCCCACUCGAAUCAUAAUUAAUUAAUAGGGUUUAAAUUGGGCUCGAAAGCUAAGGGGAUAACACUUUGGGGCUUUAUAUAUUACCAAAAAAAAUCCAUGCUCCUGUUUACAACCUUCACAAAAUAAUUAACAAAAUUAGAAUAAAACAAUACAGAUAUGCAUACAUCUACACUUACCGUUAUAACCUACCUAUAACAAAUCAGAAAAACGGGGGGGGGAGGGCAGUGUCAGACUGCGGUCAAAUGAGCAGUCAUUCGUUCAUCCGUCAUUCAGCCAGCCGUGCUUCAAAAGCGUCUUGCGACGGUAUUACGGGCUUUACAGCAGAGCACAAAACACGCUUGUUGCGACUUCCUCUUUCAUAGCGAGACGUCUGGUCUGUUCAAAGUAUGGAAAACUACGAAACAAAAUAUUGGUUUAAUAGAAAAACUGUCGCCUAAUAAAGAUCUGUGUACUUUUACUGUGUAUUUUAAUAUUUAUUAGCUUAAACUGGCAUCUAAUGCUAAAAAGCAGUAUUAGUUUGGCUUUCAUUACAAUGAUUUUGGUCCAUAAUGGCAGACUCACACCAGUCUGCCCUUGUACUAAAGGUAGUACACUAGUACUAGUACACAAAGAAAUGUGCAAUUAUGUAUGUACAAUUUAGCAUUUAUUAGUAUUUAAAACUAACAUGUCAUACUGUAAAAUCUUGAUGAUUAAUAACUUGGCUUUGGUGCAUAGUUCAAGGCCCAGACCUCUUUCUCCCUGUUCUACCCAGAUUACAUGUCCCCUCUUCAUAUAAAGAACUGUGAGAAAGGCUAGGCAUACACACAUUAAACCCUUGUAUUAACAUCUGUUAGGACUCCAAAGUGAAAGCGUGAGUUUAAAAUUAAAAACUAAAUGUUUAAUGUUUCAUAUAAAGUCAUGGAACACAGUCCAAAACUGAAUAUUUUUGUGUGAAACAUACAUUAAAGUGGUGGAGGAGUUUGUGUGCCUGAAUGACCCCCGAGCUAUGUUGUCGGGGGCUAAAUGCACCUGGUAGGGUCUCCCAAGGCAAAAAGGUCCUGGGCCACGGGCCAGAUUAAGAGCGGUUCACAACCCCUAUGAAUAGUAUGGCGCAGCUGUGGCCCCAACCUGGAGCCAAACCCAGUGUUUGGCAGCAGUCGAAGGAGAGAGCCUCGGUGACCCAAUCUCGGGACAACCAAUCUGGCUAUCUGGGGGGGGGGGGGUUGAGCUUGUGCAGGAGGUUGGGCGUUACUGGCUAGAAAUAGUUGGGCUCACCUUCACACACAGCCUGGGCUCUGGAACCCAACUGCUUGAGAGGGGCUGGACUCCCUUCUACUCUGGAGUUGCCCAAAGUUAGAGGCGACGGACUGAUGUGGACUUGCUAAUUGCUCAGCUGCAAUUUUCCCUGGUAGACAAGAGGGUCGCUUCCCUGUGCCUUUGGGUUGGGGAUAGGUCACUCACUGUUGUUUGUGCCUAUGGGCCGAUUGGGAGUGUGGGCUACCCGGCCUCUUUGGGGUUUCCGGAGGGAAUAUUGGAAAGCGCUCCAACUGGGGAUCCCAGUGUUCUGCUGAGGGAUUUCAACGCUCAUGUGGGCAAUGACAGUGACACCUGCCGGGCAACCUGCCGGGCAACCUGGCUGCUGAUGGGAAUUUCCCCGCUGUGGGACUAAUAAAGGCAUUCUUAACCUGGAGAGGCAUGAAAGGGAGAAAUGGCCUCCCUGAUCUAACCCAGUGGUGUUAUGUUAUUGGACUUUUGUGCGAGGCACAGACUGGCCAUAACUAACACCAUGUUCGAACAUAAGGGUGUCCAUCAGUGCACCAGGACACCCUAGGCCGGAGGUUGAUGAUAAACUUUGUAGUUCUGUCACCUGAUCUUCAGCCAUAUGUUUCGGACACUCGAGGGGCUGAGCUGUAAACUGAUCACCACCUGGUGGUGAGUAGGAUCCACUGGCAGGGAAGAAGGCUGGAAAUACUUGGCAGGCCCAAAUGUAUUGUGAGGGUCUGUUAAGAACGUCUGGCUGAAUCCUCUGUCAGAAGGAUCUUUAACUCAAACUCGGGGGGAGAUUUUACAAGAUUCCGAGGGAGGCUGGAGACAUAGUCUGAGUGGACCAUGUUCUCCAUCUCCAUUGUCAACAUGGCCGUUCGGCGCUGUGGAGGCAAGGUCUCCAGUGCCUGUGCUUUUGCGGAGGCAAAAACUUGGGCCUGGGAGGAGUUUGGGGAGGCCAUGGAGGAGGACUAUCAUUUGGACUCAAAGAGAUUCUAGCAAACCGUUUGACAUGUCAGGAGGGGAAAGCAGUUCUCCACCAACUCUGUUUUCAGUGGAGGUGGGGAGAUUAUCAGACAGGUAAAGUAUUUUGAGGAUCUCCUUAAUCCGUCUGACACACUUUCUGCUGAGGAAGCAGAGGCAGGGGUCUCAGAGGUGGACUUGCCCAUCACUCAGGCUGAGGUCAUCGACGUAGUGUGUCACUGGUUAAAUACUCAAGGGCAGUGGUCACUUUCGGGGAGGAGAAAGAAUCCAUCUAGUGGUGGAGAGUGUUUUCUGCAAAGUAAGCUUUUGUGGUGGCAAUGACUUCCUCUUUAAACUCAAAUUUCUGCCUAGCAAGUGAUUUUUUUCAAGUUUGGAAACAAAAAGAAGUCGCACAGGGCCAAAUCUGGAGAAUACGGCAGAUGGGGCAGCAGUUCGUAGACAAUUUGACCAAUUUGGCCGUGGCGAAGGUGGAGGUGUGAGCUAAAGCGUUGUCAUGGUGGAAGAGCACUUUUUUCUUCUCUCUCUGGUGUGUACCAGUGGAUCCAUGUUUCGUCGACGGUCAUGAAACGACGCAAAAACUCAUUCGGAUUGCACUUAAACAGCGUCAAACACUGCUCUGAAGUGGUCUUACGGUUAAGCUUGUUGUCCAGAGUGAGCAAACGCGCCGACUGCUUUCUCAUGCCCUAAAUUUCAUGCAGGAUAUGACUCACGUAGUCUUUUGAGAUGUCUACUGUCUCAGCCACCGACAUGCGACCACAUUGAAAUUCGUUAAAACAUGUUAAACCAAUUUUUGACGGUCGCUAUCGAAGAGUCACCGUUCACAACAUGCAAGUGCUCCUUGAUUAUGCUGCGCGAUUUCCCUUCCAACAAUAACAUUUGGCUGAAAUUUCGACAGUAGCCGUCUACGAGAAUGUACUACACGAUAGUACAUUUCUCUUGUGGUAUUAGUGCCAUCGUGAGGCUAAGUACUUAUCGGACCGUCCUUGUAUGACAGUACUUUUAAUUACCAUAUAUUCAAUCGUUUAUUCAUAAUCAGGUCACAUGUUCGGCAUCUUGGUUUGUGUUAAUAUGCUUAAUUCUCCCAACAUUUCACAACCGCAUGUCUGUUUACAAUUUGUCACGUAAAGUCUUAGGGUAAAGUCCUGAGUUCCAGAUCCUUUAGUUACUGUGCAGUAUGUGCAGGUUUACAUUGAGCUGCUGAGUGGUUUUCUUGCAAAAUGCAUCCUGCUCCUUAUGUAAACAGUUGCUUUAAUUACCAUUGUACAAAAACAGUACAGAAAUAUUAGAAUGUAUAAUUUGCUUACAGCUUCUGUAUCAACUUUGAUUACAACUUUGAGUAUUUUUGGUCAUAUUAAUUCACAUUGGAGUCGUUGACCUACAACCCAAAUCAAGAAUUAAUUUCAGAUACAUGUAAUGAAUUAAAAAUAUAAAAACUGACAUGUGAGUUUGUCAUUUAGGUAGUUAUAAAAUGUUGUACUGAUUUAACCAGUGAGCAGUGAUUGUCAGACCUGUCUGGAACAGCAGUUCAUCAUGGUGCUGCCUUCACAGUUUAUCGUGACCUAGGCGAUGCCCAAACAUUGCACAUGUACUUAAUGUAAACACCUAAUGUAGUUAGGUGAAAAUUAUGAAGUUGUACGUCUACGAAGAUCCUAAGGACCCCAGCUGUUAGCAGCAUUUCAUCUAUUCCACUUUCAGGGUUUCAGAAUGGGUUCUGAACUGGUUGUCGUACUCGGAGGUUCAAAAGUCUAGAUCACCUGGAUCUCCCUGGCACGUAGGCCAGGAUCCUGUUAUUGGACUUCAGCUCAGCCCCUAAUACAAUCACCCCUGGAAUACUCCACAUUAAACUGACCCAGCUCACCAUCCCUGAUGCCACGUGUCAGUGGAUCAGGAACUUCUUGACCGUCAAGAAUCAGCAGGUGAGGCUGGGCAGGAUCACAUCUGGCACUUGCAUCGCAGGGGUGAGUCCUUUCCCCACUGCUCUUCUCCCUGUACACUAACAACUGCACCUAAGUGAACCCUCCUAGGGUGUGUUCCAGAAAGCGGGUUAUGUAACAUACCCAGGUAAGUUUGAGGGUAAGUUAGUGAUUAACCUCAGCUUUCGGUUCCAAAAACGGAGCUAACUUUCAGGGUAUGUAUGUUACCAUAGCAACUUACUCUCUGAACAUAACCUGCUCCGGAGCAGGUUAUGUUUCGGGGUAAGUUCGUUUCGGAGGUUACUGAACAGGGCGUGUCCGUUAGAUGACAAGCCUGUGGAAGUGGAGGCGCAGCUUAAUUUAUUUAUUUUCACCGUGAAAGGGUCAUAAAGCCACGUAUCAAUGUUUUUUUCAUGUGAAUUAUUUGAAGGAGGGAGCGUUAUCGUUUUUCUAAAGAAUGUAUUUAAUGAACCAUUUGAAACAUUUCAUCUCAAACUUAACAAACACGGGUCUGCGCUUAUCAUGGAAAGCAUUUUGUGCGUAGCUCUUCGUUUUUUGCAUCAGGACAUUUUUGAGUGGCAGGAUAAUCUGGAACAUAUUUUAAUAUGUACACCUCGGACGUACUGCACACACGCACACUUUCCGUAUUACUUUAUUACUUUCCAUUUCAGAGUUUCCAAACGUGAUUGGGUGCAUCAAUGGCACCCACAUUCCUAUUAAAGCUCCUUCAGUCAAUGAGGGAGACUAUGUUAAGAGGAAGUCAUUUCCCAAUAUCAAUGUGCAGGUAAUAUGUGAUGCAACCCAUCUCAUCACUAAUGUUAAAGCCAAAUGAUCAGGGUCAGUGCAUGAUUCCAGAAUCUUUAGGGAAUCAUCAGUAUGUCACAUCUUUCAACAGGGACACUACAAUAGCUACUUGCUGGGGGACAGAGGGUUCCCUUGUCUGCCCUAUUUAAUGACACCCUACCCUGAACCUGAACCUGGACCACAGACACGGUUCAACCGGGCCCACAGCAGAACACGGCCAAGGUGGAGAUGACCACAGGCAUCCUGAAGGCGAGGUUCCAGUGUCUGCGUGGCCUCAGGGUCAGUCCAGAGAGGGCAUGUGACAAUGUAGUGGAUUGUGUUGUCCUUCACAAUAUUGCCACAAUACGAGGAGAGCAACCCUCCUUGUCCUGCUGAAGAUGACCAAGAUGAUCCAGUAGUGAACCAAGUACACCACAAAGAUGGAAGACUCUUACUGUAAGACAAAUGAUUUGUCAGAAUCACUUUUAUUAAAAAGGUUUCUGCACCAAA